UGUUAUGGCGGCUGUGCGCAGGACACCUUCGGGUGUGCCGGGUUCCUGUAUCUCCGGUCGACCAACCUACGCACGGCUGCCACCCAU
rnacentral:antisense_RNA from 2 species